GGCGUAGGAACCGGGGGGGACGUGUCCCCUCCAAUAUUGGAGACAGUUUCAUUUGUCCCCCCCCAAAAAUUAUUUGAAAAAUAUUUGAUUUUAAAAUCUUUAACUCGCGUGCUUUUAUUUUGAAAGCGCAACACAGCGUCUUUUCACCGGCCCGCCCCACCCCCUCAACGGCUAGUGGGGUCUGAAACUGACGACAGGUCGUCUGAGGUUAAUAUAAAGAGACAGCAGCAGCUCAGUUUAAAUGAUUUCUUUCUACUGGGGAAGAAAAGAAAGAAAGGAAAUAAAUACUCUUUAACCUGCCCACUGGAGCUUGGAAUGCAAUUUGGGACAUUCUUCCAGUUGUCGGCAACUUUGUGAAAAAGGCUAUGUAAGAAUUUAUAGUCAGCCUUGACAAAGAUUCCACUCCAAUUUAGCUGUUGAAUAAAGCUCAUCCCUCUAAAAGGCUUGAUAAUCAUAAAAGCUAGAAACUAAAAUGCAGAAUUCUGGCCUGGUGUUUGGUCUGUGCUGUCUUUGGCUCUUGCAUCUCCAUCAUCCUGACCCUCUUUAGCAGCCUGUCCAUGUAUUUAUUUGAAGGCCACCAUGAGCACCCAUCUGCAUAAUAUGACUUUGUUACUCAGAUGUCCAUGCGCUCCUACAAAUUCUACAUUUUUUGUAAAGCUGCAACAAGUUGAAACCCUAUAAUUAUUAACGUUUGAUUUUGAACUAUGUAAUUAAAAUACAUGAAUAAGUAACAAAAGCAGAAAUCUAUUAAGACAUUACCUUUUUGUUGCUUGUUUACUGAUCUAUCAAUCCUUUUGCAUUUUCAUAAUUGAUCAUCAUAACUUGGUAUACAGUGGAUGUGUGGCUGUAGAUAACUUCUGAAGUCAAUUUAAAAAGACAAAAGUUAAUAAAUGCUGAAUUGGUCAAAUAUACAUUGUUGUAUUUUCACCAUUUUGAUGUUUAGGCAUUUCAUAAAUUGAGGGUUAAUUCACGUAUACUGAUGUUUCAAAUCAAAGAUUAUUUAUUAAUGACAGCUAAUUAUUUUAUAAAGAUUUUUAUUACAAUAUUUAUUUGUAUAAUAUCAAUUUAAUACAUUUAAUUCGUUACACCUACAUCACUGAGCGCAAGGGAGUGCAGCCAACAAAUACAUUCAGGUGUGUUUGACUUAACACCGAGAUGCGCAGACAGCACGUGGUAUGACAUCAAAGUACCGCGAGAGUUUGGGAAAGCCCCUGAAAAGGUUUGAACUCGCGGUAUUUGAUGUCACGAUCGGUUUGCGCGUACAUCAGCAUGAAGUCAAACACAUCUGAGAGAUGUGUGGGCUGCCUGCACUCAACGUUGCGAUCUUGCGAUAAUUCAGUAGAGUGUAACCUCAGUCGUUUUUUGCAGCUUCUGGGUGUCGUGUCGAACGAUAGCAGAACGAUCUUUUGUUCUUUUCCAACUCGAUUUUUAACUCCCUAAACUAGUAGGAUGUUCCGACGGGUGAAGCAACAGUGCUGACGGCAGAGUUUCAGUGUCAAUUUUUCAUGCCAUGAUCACUGGGGCGGAAACCAUUAUGACGUUGCCUUGGACAUCAAACUAAACCAUCUCAUUCUGGCUUUUCUCUAACAUCGAAAUCUCAGAAGGAC